UGGGGAAUCUUGCGCAAUGGGCGAAAGCCUGACGCAGCAACGCCGCGUGCGGGAUGAAGGCCUUCGGGUUGUAAACCGCUUUCAGCAGGGACGAAACUGACGGUACCUGCAGAAGAAGCCCCGGCUAACUACGUGCCAGCAGCCGCGGUAAUACGUAGGGGGCUAGCGUUAUCCGGAUUCAUUGGGCGUAAAGCGCGCGUAGGCGGGCUGUUAAGUCAGAUGUGAAAACCGGGGGCUUAACCCGCGGCCUGCAUCUGAAACUGGCAGCCUCGAGUCUGGUAGAGGAAAGUGGAAUUCCCAGUGUAGCGGUGAAAUGCGCAGAUAUUGGGAGGAACACCAGUGGCGAAGGCGGCUUUCUGGGCCACGACUGACGCUGAGGCGCGAAAGCUAGGGGAGCAAACA
rnacentral:rRNA from 2 species